GUGUGAGAAAUCUCACUGUUCUGGGACCAGCUCACGGGUGAGGCCAGAUGGGAAGGUUAGUGGUCAGGAACAUUUGCUGCUGUGUGAGCGAACCGUCUUUGAUAUUCAGUCCUGUGGAGCCUUUUGAAACUCCAAGCCUGGGUCAGUAUCUGCUACAACUUGGUGUGAAGCAGCAACUAGCCAGCCAGUCAAAGCCAGUCAAGCCCUCCUCAAUGUUUAACCCAUGACCAGCAAAAUUAAUGGUUAUUUUUAGCUGCUGUUUGAAAGUUUUUGAUAAGUUAAAAUAGUAACCGGUUGGAGUUCUCGGCUUUCCUGUUCUGUCCUUGAAGUGGAGAAGUCUCUGCAACCAGAAUGGAAUGCUUAAACAAAUGUUUCCAGGAUGAGAAAUUCCAGACAUUUAUCCAUUAGUACCGAAGGCUAAAUGAAAUUCCAUUGUAUGCACACACCACAUGCCCCUUAGGUGUUGAUCUGCCUGAUGGACAUCCAGGCGACUGCAUUUCUCAGCUCUUGUAGACAUCGCAGCAACAAUGUAGGCGUACUGGUAUCUGUGAGAUGAGAGAAUUUCCUGCUGGGUUGUUGGGAAGAUUAAAGCCUUGGACUUUUGAGCGUAUUUCAUGGCAACUAGUAUAUAUCCAGAUGCACACCUGGGUUACCAAGUGAUGUCUCCAUCAAUGCGGUCUGCAGUCAGAAGGGACGGAAGGUGUUCCAGAAUGCUGAAGAAGGCACAGCUCCCAAGGACAGAUGGAGGCUUGCAUGGGGAACCAAGAGAAUUGGAUGGUCCAGACACAACUUGACCUUGUCAAGCCUUUGAUUUCCUAACUGUAAAGUAGGGACUCCCUUGUGCUGCUUAAUGGUACUGUGAAGGGUGAGAAGCAGUUUCCAGUGUUGAAGACAGGCACAUGCCAGAUGCAAUAGAUAACCCAGGAAAGCUCUUCUUCCAUCUAAUUGGAUGGCAGAUGUCACGAACAAUAAAACACAAAUAAACAGGCCUUGGUGUUUCCCUGUACUCUGCUGCCCGUGAGCAGUUUGCUAAACAGAAGCUAACUAACACAGGGAGAGCUGCUAGAAGGGGGAAGAGUAACUGGCACAUUAGUCUUCAUUAUGCUACAGGUUUUUUUUGUAUUUGUUUUUGUUUUUUUUGUUUUUUGUUUUUUCAAGACAGGGUUUCUUUGGAACU